rnacentral:rRNA from 1 species
AGUGAACGCUGGCGGUAGGCCUAACACAUGCAAGUCGAACGGCAGCACAGUAAAAGUUUGCUCUUACGUGUGGCGAGUGGGGGACGGGAGAGGUAUACAGCGGACUCUCCUUUUUCGUGGGGGAUCACGUAGGGAAACUUACGCUUAUACCGCAUACGACCUACGGGUGAAAGCAGGGGAUCUUCGGACCUUGCGCGCUUGAAUGCGCCGAUGUGGGUUUAGCUAGUAGGUGGGGUAAAGGCCCACCAAGGCGACGCUCCGGCGCUGGUCUGAGAGGAUGACCAGCCACACUGGAACUGAGACACGGUCCAGGCUCCUGAGGGAGGCAGCAGUGGGGAAUAUUGCACAAUGGGCGCAAGCCUGAUGCAGCCAUGCCGCGUGUAUGAAGAAGGCCUUCGGGUUGUAAAGUACUUUCAGCGGGGAGGAAGGGAGUAAAGUUAAUACCUUUACUCAUUGACGUUACCCGCAGAAGAAGCACCGGCUAACUCCGUG